rfam:Cryptosporidium muris RN66 scf_1106632373431 genomic scaffold, whole genome shotgun sequence.
GGUGGGAUGGCCGAGCGGUCUAAGGCGCUAGUUCGAGGUGCUAGUUUUCGCGGGUUCGAAUCCCGUUCCCAUCA